AUGCAACCUACCUCAAUCAGGGGGAUAGCCCGAAGAAAUUCGGAUUAACACCGCAUAAAAACACAGUACAGCAUUGUACAAUGUUCAAAUAUUUAUAGGAUUGAGAUGGGCAUGCGUGUCAUUAGCUAGUUGGCGGGGUAACGGCCCACCAAGGCGACGAUGACUAGGGGAUCUGAGAGGAUGACCCCCCACACUGGUACUGAGACACGGACCAGACUCCUACGGGAGGCAGCAGUAAGGAAUAUUGGUCAAUGGAGGGAACUCUGAACCAGCCAUGCCGCGUGCAGGAAGACAGCCCUCUGGGUCGUAAACUGCUUUUAUUCGGGAAUAAACCUACUUACGUGUAAGUAGCUGAAUGUACCGAAGGAAUAAGGAUCGGCUAACUCCGUGCCAGCAGCCGCGGUAAUACGGAGGAUCCAAGCGUUAUCCGGAUU
rnacentral:rRNA from 1 species